rnacentral:rRNA from 1 species
UGAUUGACGAUGGAUUACCAGUGAGUGGCGGACGGGUGAGUAACACGUAGGUAACCUGCCCCGGAGCGGGGGAUAACAUUUGGAAACAGAUGCUAAUACCGCAUAACAACAAAAGCCACAUGGCUUUUGUUUGAAAGAUGGCUUUGGCUAUCACUCUGGGAUGGACCUGCGGUGCAUUAGCUAGUUGGUAAGGUAACGGCUUACCAAGGCGAUGAUGCAUAGCCGAGUUGAGAGACUGAUCGGCCACAAUGGAACUGAGACACGGUCCAUACUCCUACGGGAGGCAGCAGUAGGGAAUCUUCCACAAUGGGCGCAAGCCUGAUGGAGCAACACCGCGUGAGUGAAGAAGGGUUUCGGCUCGUAAAGCUCUGUUGUUGGAGAAGAACGUGCGUGAGAGUAACUGUUCACGCAGUGACGGUAUCCAACCAGAAAGUCACGGCUAACUACGUGCCAGCAGCCGCGGUAAUACGUAGGUGGCAAGCGUUAUCCGGAUUUAUUGGGCGUAAAGCGAGCGCAGGCGGUUGCUUAGGUCUGAUGUGAAAGCCUUCGGCUUAACCGAAGAAGUGCAUCGGAAACCGGGCGACUUGAGUGCAGAAGAGGACAGUGGAACUCCAUGUGUAGCGGUGGAAUGCGUAGAUAUAUGGAAGAACACCAGUGGCGAAGGCGGCUGUCUGGUCUGCAACUGACGCUGAGGCUCG